GAGUUUGAUCCUGUUAUCAGAACGUACGCUGGCGGCACGCCUAACACAUGCAAGUCGAACGAAGUAGCAAUACUUAGUGGCAGACGGGUGAGUAACAUGUGGGUAUCUACCCUUUGGCCUGGAAUAACACGAGGAAACUUGUGCUAAUACCGGAUAAGUCUUUACGGAGAAAGCUUUAUGCACCAUUGGAUGAGCCCGCACUUGAUUAGUUUGUUGGUAGGGUAAUGGCCUACCAAGACUAUGAUCAAUAGCUGAUUUGAGAGGAUGAUCAGCCACAUUGGGACUGAGACACGGCCCAAACUCCUACGGGAGGCAGCAGUGGGGAAUCUUGCACAAUGGAGGAAACUCUGAUGCAGCGAUGCCGCGUGAGUGAAGAAGGCCUUUGGGUUGUAAAGCUCUUUCGUCGGGGAAGAAAAUGACUGUACCCGAAUAAGAAGGUCCGGCUAACUUCGUGCCAGCAGCCGCGGUAAUACGAAGGGACCUAGCGUAGUUCGGAAUUACUGGGCUUAAAGAGUUCGUAGGUGGUUGAAAAAGUUAGUGGUGAAAUCCCAGAGCUUAACUCUGGAACUGCCAUUAAAACUUUUCAGCUAGAGUAUGAUAGAGGAAAGCAGAAUUUCUAGUGUAGAGGUGAAAUUCGUAGAUAUUAGAAAGAAUACCAAUUGCGAAGGCAGCUUUCUGGAUCUGUACUGACACUGAGGUGCGAAAGCGUGGGUAGCGAACAGGAUUAGAUACCCUGGUAGUCCACGCCGUAAACGAUGACAACUAGCUGUUGGGAGACUAUGUCUUUCAGUGGCGCAGCUAACGCUUUAAGUUGUCCGCCUGGGGAGUACGGCCGCAAGGCUAAAACUCAAAUGAAUUGACGGGGACCCGCACAAGCGGUGGAGCAUGUGGUUUAAUUCGAUGCAACGCGAAAAACCUUACCUACUCUUGACAUACUUGGAGGCUCUUGUAAUGAGAGUGUGCCUUUUGGAACCAAGAUACAGGUGCUGCAUGGCUGUCGUCAGCUCGUGUCGUGAGAUGUUCCGUUAAGUCGGAUAACAAGCGCAACCCUUACCCUUAUUUGCCAGCGAUUCGGUCGGGAACUAUAAGGGGACUGCCGGUGAUAAACCGGAGGAAGGUGAGGACGACGUCAAGUCAUCAUGGCCCUUACGAGUAGGGCUACACACGUGCUACAAUGGGAGAUACAGACGGACGCUAAGCCGCGAGGUGGUGCUAAUCCUAAAAAGUCUUUCGUAGUCCGGAUUGGAGUCUGCAACUCGACUCCAUGAAGUCGGAAUCGCUAGUAAUCGCGGAUCAGCAUGCCGCGGUGAAUACGUUCUCGGGUCUUGUACACACCGCCCGUCACACCAUGGAAGUGGAUUGCACCAGAAGUAGAUAGUCUAACCUUAGGGAGGGCGUUUACCACGGUGUGCUUCAUGACUGGGGUGAAGUCGUAACAAGGUAACC
rnacentral:rRNA from 1 species